rnacentral:tRNA from 1 species
AAGGCACCGGUUUUUGAUACCGGCAUUCCCUGGUUCGAAUCCAGGUAUCCCAGCCAUCAUUAAAAUGCAGUACAA